GGCUAAAGUGUCAGUACUAUAAAACCGCUGAUAACUGCGAUGAAAGCUAUUCGAACAAUUACUAAACGACAACUUGUAAAAAUGAAGACAGGAAAGCUCCCUCUCCUUAUCUUUGUCUUUUCCCUUGUAUCUCUUCUAAAUCAAGCUGAUUGCUACUAUCCGCAAAAGCCUGCCGGGAAAGUGAAGCGUGGUCAGAGUUUGUGCAUGAUGGCACGGAGGAUGGGCUGCGACUUGGCAACCAGGCAGAAGCAAGACGAAGAUUAUGUAAAC